rnacentral:sRNA from 1 species
AUGUCCCACGCGUACACUGCGGUUCCUUCGCGCCGUCCGCACCCACUUGAAUGCCGCUCGCUACGUUUUGGCAACC